rnacentral:rRNA from 1 species
CCUACGGGUGGCAGCAGUGGGGAAUAUUGCACAAUGGGGGAAACCCUGAUGCAGCGACGCCGCGUGCGUGAAGAAGUAUCUCUGUAUGUAAAGCUCUAUCAGUAGGGAAGUAGACAGACGGUACCUGACUAAGAAGCACCGGCUAACUAAGUGACAGCAGCCGCGGUAAUACGGAGGGGGCAAGCGUUAUCCGGAUUUACUGGGUGUAAAGGGAGCGUAGACGGUUGUGCAAGUCUGAGGUGAAAGCCCAGGGCUCAACCCUGGGACUGCUUUGGAAACUGUGGAGCUAGAGAGCUGUAGAGGUAAGUGGAAUGCCUGGUGUAGCGGUGAAAUGCGUAGAGAUUAGAAGGAACACCAGUGGCGAAGGCAGCUUACGGGACAAUAACUGACGUUGAGGCUCGAAAGCGUGGGGAGCAAACAGGAUUAGAUACCCGAGUAGUC